rnacentral:rRNA from 1 species
GCGGAUGAGAGGAGCUUGCUCCUUGAUUUAGCGGCGGACGGGUGAGUAAUGCCUAGGAAUCUGCCUGGUAGUGGGGGAUAACGUUCCGAAAGGAACGCUAAUACCGCAUACGUCCUACGGGAGAAAGCAGGGGACCUUCGGGCCUUGCGCUAUCAGAUGAGCCUAGGUCGGAUUAGCUAGUUGGUGAGGUAAUGGCUCACCAAGGCGACGAUCCGUAACUGGUCUGAGAGGAUGAUCAGUCACACUGGAACUGAGACACGGUCCAGACUCCUACGGGAGGCAGCAGUGGGGAAUAUUGGACAAUGGGCGAAAGCCUGAUCCAGCCAUGCCGCGUGUGUGAAGAAGGUCUUCGGAUUGUAAAGCACUUUAAGUUGGGAGGAAGGGCAUUAACCUAAUACGUUAGUGUUUUGACGUUACCGACAGAAUAAGCACCGGCUAACUUCGUGCCAGCAGCCGCGGUAAUACGAAGGGUGCAAGCGUUAAUCGGAAUUACUGGGCGUAAAGCGCGCGUAAGUGGUUCGUUAAGUUGGAUGUGAAAGCCCCGGGCUCAACCUGGGGAACUGCAUCCAAAACUGGCGAGCUAGAGUACGGUAAGUAAGGUGGUGGAAUUUCCUGUGUAGCGGUGAAAUGCGUACAUAUAGGACGGGAACACCAGCUGGCGAAGGCGACCACCUGGACUGAUUCUGACCCUGAGGUGCGAAAACCGUGGGGA